rnacentral:rRNA from 1 species
CCUACGGGAGGCAGCAGUGAGGAAUAUUGGACAAUGGGCGCAAGCCUGAUCCAGCCAUGCCGCGUGCAGGAAGAAGCAUCUAUGGUGUGUAAACUGCUUUUGUACGGGAAGAAACACUCCUACGUGUAGGAGCUUGACGGUACCGUAAGAAUAAGGAUCGGCUAACUCCGUGCCAGCAGCCGCGGUAAUACGGAGGAUCCAAGCGUUAUCCGGAAUCAUUGGGUUUAAAGGGUCCGUAGGCGGUUUGGUAAGUCAGUGGUGAAAGCCCAUCGCUUAACGAUGGAACGGCCAUUGAUACUGCCAGACUUGAAUUACUGGGAAGUAACUAGAAUAUGUAGUGUAGCGGUGAAAUGCUUAGAUAUUACAUGGAAUACCAAUUGCGAAGGCAGGUUACUACCAGUGGAUUGACGCUGAUGGACGAAAGCGUGGGGAGCGAACAGGAUUAGAUACCCUGGUAGUCCACGCCGUAAACGAUGGAUACUAGCUGUUGGGAGCAAUCUCAGUGGCUAAGCGAAAGUGAUAAGUAUCCCACCUGGGGAGUACGUUCGCAAGAUGAACCUUAAAUGAAUUGACCGGNUGAGAGAGCGAGACGACGACGAGGGAGGAGG